GGAGGGAUGGCCGAGCGGUUUAAGGCACCGGUCUUGAAAACCGGCGUGGGUGCAAGCCCACCGUGGGUUCGAAUCCCACUCCCUCCGCCA
rnacentral:tRNA from 74 species